GGAUGUGCCGUGCGAUUUGGCAGCUGCACCUUCCCACCCACCGUCCGUUGAUCGCCAGGGCAAGUUCGGCUGAUCCGUCUGCACAGAUCAGUGUCCGCUUAUCGGCGCCUAUUCCGUGUUCGUCCCUCCCGAUGCUCUGCGCUCGGCGGCAGCGGACUUCGACCCCCGAGGACCGGCAGCGGCUUCUUCGUCGAGGUCGUGGGUUAAGGCGUAGCGACUGCUCCCUGCUAGACCAAACUCCAGAUGCCAACAAUUCGCACACAGACCGACGGUCACAUUUCCGCACCUCCGAUUACGUGCCCUGCGAAAGAAGCUCGCGUUCAGUGGUACAUGCAUUGUCAAGAUAACAGCAACAU
rnacentral:snRNA from 1 species